rnacentral:rRNA from 1 species
GACGAACGCUGGCGGCGUGCCUAAUACAUGCAAGUCGAGCGCAGGAAGCCGUCUGAACCCUUCGGGGGGACGACGGUGGAAUGAGCGGCGGACGGGUGAGUAACACAUAAAGAACCUGCCCAUAGGUCUGGGAUAACCACGAGAAAUCGGGGCUAAUACCGGAUGUGUCAUCGGACCGCAUGGUCCGCUGAUGAAAGGCGCUCCGGCGUCGCCCAUGGAUGGCUUUGCGGUGCAUUAGCUAGUUGGUGGGGUAACGGCCCACCAAGGCGACGAUGCAUAGCCGACCUGAGAGGGUGAUCGGCCACACUGGGACUGAGACAUGGCCCAGACUCCUACGGGAGGCAGCAGUAGGGAAUCUUCCACAAUGGACGAAAGUCUGAUGGAGCAACGCCGCGUGAACGAUGAAGGCUUUCGGGUCGUAAAGUUCUGUUGUAAGGGAAGAACAAGUGCCGCAGGCAAUGGCGGCACCUUGACGGUACCUUGCGAGAAAGCCACGGCUAACUACGUGCCAGCCGCCGCAGUAACAC